AUUGAACGCUGGCGGCAUGCCUUACACAUGCAAGUCGAACGGUAACAGGUCUUCGGAUGCUGACGAGUGGCGAACGGGUGAGUAAUACAUCGGAACGUGCCCGAGAGUGGGGGAUAACGAAGCGAAAGCUUUGCUAAUACCGCAUACGAUCUCAGGAUGAAAGCAGGGGACCGCAAGGCCUUGCGCUCACGGAGCGGCCGAUGGCAGAUUAGGUCGUUGGGGGGAUAAAAGCUUACCAAGCCGACGAUCUGUAGCUGGUCUGAGGGGACGACCAGCCACACUGAGACUGAGACACGGCCCAGACUCCUGCGGGAGGCAGUAGUGGGGAAUUUUGGACAAUGGGCGCAAGCCUGAUACUGCCACGCCGCGUGCAGGAUGAAGGCCUUCGGGUUGUAAACUGCUUUUGUACGGAACGAAAAGACUCUGGUUAAUACCUGGGGUCCAUGACGGUACCGUAAGAAUAAGCACCGGCUAACUACGUGCCAGCCGCCGCUGUAA
rnacentral:rRNA from 1 species